CAAAAACGCUGGUGGUUUUUUUUUUUUCCUUAAACAAUCAACUUUUGUUCUUUCCCAGAAGAGCUCCUGCACAGCCCCAGGCUGCUCCUUCUCCUAACUCAAUUGUGGGAACACUACUCUGGACCUCCAGUUCGCCUUUGAAAUCUAUUAGAGACCUCCCCCUGAGAAAAGAUGUUUCUUAGGGUUCUAAGUGAUUAGUUUCAUUCCUCCACCUGGAUCUGGGGGAGAACUAGGAAGGUGUGGACGCUGGGAUUGUGUGCACAACAGUUUCACUAAAUGAGUCAUCAGUGUCCUACCAAGCUGAAAAUACUGUGAGAUCCUUCCUCCAGAAUCAGAGGUCACUUCUCCAGCAAGCUUUUCAACAGGGUUUUAACUCUUCUAUGCAGCUGGCAAAAACAUUGAUCCAGCAAACUGAAAACACACAGUGGUAUGUAUGUUUGCAGUCUUUAUAAACUUUCCCAUGUAUGCUAUUCUAUCAGCUUUACACAUUCCCUGAGCAGAUACUGGUGAGCUGAGAUAUCAGGCAAGUGCUCA
rnacentral:lncRNA from 1 species